GUCUACAGCUAUAACCAUCCUGACCGCGUCCGAUCUUGUCUGAUCUCGGAAGCUAAGCAGGGUCGGGCCUGGUUAGUACUUGGAUGGGAGAUUUCCCAAGUCUAUUCUCCCAGGCUUUGCGGUUGCUGAGUUC
rnacentral:rRNA from 1 species